UAGAAUACAUAUCAACCAUGGAGGCCAGUUUUUACUGGAAUUUUUCUUGCGGCCAUCAGGAUGUUUGUGUAGGUUUGCUCUGCAACACGGCUGAACAUUAUGUUGUUUUCGGUUGACAGAAGCAUUAUCGGUACUAUGUAUGUAAAUGUAGCUUGGAAGACAAGGAAGCACAACAAAUGGAGGCGUUCUGUUUAAUCCACCCUCCCUUACAUAAUUGCUCUUGAACCUUUUUUAUUAAACUGCUAUGUAGCAGUGGGGCCUAUCUGCCUCUCAAAAAUAAGGUGGACAUCAAAUGAUAUUAUGAAAAUAAGUUUUCCAGGAAAAGAGUAUCUCAAUGAACACCAGUGUGUCUUGCUAAUUUUAAGUUUGCUUCAACAUCAAACUCAGAUUCGCAAAGCUAUCAACUAUUACAUGUCAAAGUUAUGACAAGUAUGAAGUAUGGCAAUCAUAUCGAGAAGGAUGUUACUCCCCCAGUCUUCGGUAUCUAAACAGCUCCUAUGUGCUGGUAGCAAAGGCAACAAUUCAGGUAUUAAAUUAACAUAAAGAACUAAGGGAGAAGCGUCCAUUUGAAAAGCUCAAAGUCAUUGGUUCGCAUUGGUGUGAUUAUAUCAAAGAUUCAAUGGAAAAUAAGGUUAGCUUGUUGACCAUCUUGACUAUAUUUUCGUUGUUUCUUAUUAGUCCUGAGAUGUAGAUAUACUGGUAAUCAUUCUUCACCCCUUACGACUGUGUGAUUAUCACAUUGUAUUGUCUUGUGUUACAAACUGUUUUUGAAACAUAAUUCCUGCCCAUCAUUUGUUCAAAAUUCGAAGUAUAUAAGGAAGAUCAAAAAUCAUAUAUAUUAAGAUGGCAAUGAGAAAUUUUCUUGCUAAGAUAAUAACGUGCGUUGCACGUGCAGACUUACUAGUCACUAUAAAAAGAAGAGAGGGGCAGAUCCAAACAAUCACAUCCAUCUAUCAUCAAAAUUUAAUGGCUCUUAAUUGUUCUGUGUUUAACACUACAAAUCACGCAUCAAGUCACAAUCGAUCGAUCUCUAAUCUGCCCCGCAGUAAAAAGGGAAAAAAACCGCCCGCACGACCUCCUUCUCCUCCCGCACGACCUCCUCCUCCUCCCGCGCCGUUCGCCUCGCGCAGCCGCGCCCUUCACCGCCGCCUCGCGCGCCGGAGCCACGGGAAGCCGCCGCAGGUCACCGGGAGCCUGCCCCUGCCGCGGGUCGCCGCCUUCCCAGCCGCGGGAGCCCGCCCCCGCCGCGGGUCGCCGCCUCCCCAGCCGCGAGAGACCGCCCCGCCGCGGUUCGCCGCCUCCCCAGCCGCCGGAGCCGCCCCGCCGCGCCCUUCGACACCUCCGGAGCUGCAGCUUGGCCGCCACCACUCCGCCGCAGCUUGGGGGCAAUACCGCGGGAGGGGUCGUGCCAGCGGGCGCUCCGUGAUGGACGCGAGCAUGGGCCGUUGUCACCGCCUGCUGCUCUCCUCUGCUGCACCAGGAAUGCGAGCUAGGGUCUCCGUCGUCGUUCCUCCAUGAGGCCGGGAAAGCCAACACCGCCGCAGACGGUGUGGGGCUACCCGCCAGCGCUGGUAGCUUCCAACGAGCAUGUGAUGUGCCUGCUCCGCAACGGUCAUGCCCCGCGCUUGCUGCCAAGGUAAGGAUGCUUUGGACCAGGGGCUUGCAGUAGUAGAUUGGCCAGAACUACAUCCAUGACUGCUUCGUGAACAGAACUGCCAUAUGUAUCCCGAUAUGAGGCGACAUUUGUUUUGUCUAUCUGCGUGAUGUGAGAUUAUUUACUCUUUUCUCAAUUGGGCUUGUGCAUGAAUUAGUGGAUGCACAUGAUAUGCUUCUAGAUGUAAGUUUAGAUAUUGAGUUAUUCAGUUGUGUUAGGAAAUCAAGCUCUGGGAGAUGAGUUAGGCCCCGCUUGGAUACGGUGUAAAUUUAUACAUCCGGAUUUAAUCUACAGGUGUAUUUUACCGGCUGCUGUGUUAUUUCCUCCUAAAUUGAAAACGACGGCUGGAGGUCUGUUUUGAUUACAGGGGUAUUUAGGAGCAAACCGACAAUCCAAGCAGAGCCAGUGGUUGUUUUUUAGCACUUUAUGAAUUUAGCUACGAUUUUAUGAUGUUGCAAAAGACAAUUGAAUUUUAUGAAAAACAUGUCUGGUAUUUUGUUCGAAUACAAACUAGAUGCUUCGUUCUUGCAUACCUUAACCCAACAAUGUAAAUAUAAGUGUGAAGUCCUAUUCAUUUCUCACUAUAGGUUGCAUGGCGCUGUACACAAGUAAUUUUUUCUUUCUUCUUUCUUCUUUGUGAGACGAUUUGGAGUUAGGGAAUUUUUCUACUCUCUCCGUCCCAUAGCUUGAAAAAUGAUCUUAUAUUGUAGGAUGGAGGGAGUAUGAACUAAAAUUUUAGCAUAGAAGUAAUGCUGACUAAGCUGGUGAAAUCCUUCGACUGAGAUUCUCUGAUUGAUUCCCAUGAUUAUAUCGUCACACUUUAGGAGAUGAGUUUAUUUACAUACAUGCUUUGAGAUUAUAUCUUUGUAUUCAUAUUAAUGGCUGGAGCACACAUUUCCUUUUAUUUAUCAAUUAUAUUUUUUCUCUCCAAAUUCAGGAUUCUAAUCAUGUUCACGUUUUAAAAUAGUUGCCAGGGAGCAUGCUUAUAAUCUUUGUGCAGACCAGCGAAUCAACAAUACUGUUAGUUUUGUGUAAAGAGAAAUGUAAUAAAGAAGCCAUAAUUUUUCUGAAGGUUUCUUAGUUUAAGGAAACAACAAAAUUAACCAAUCUAUUACCUAAGGUGAGCAUGAAGACACUUUCAUACGAUGCCUUAGUAGUAUGGAAUAUGUAUAUUCCCUUUUUGAAAGUUUUCUUAAACUAAUUAGCGUCCCAUUAAAUUAUUCUCACAGUUUACAUGUUUUUAUCAGGUCAAGCAGGAUGAUAUCUCUGUUGUUCUCAUGACAUUUGGGAUGCUUGAAACUUUAUUACCUUUUGAGCGAAGAGCCGCCUUUGUUUUCAGAUACUACCUGCCCAAAAAAUCCCUACCAAGCGUUUGUAGAGAAGCAUAUGGGAGCUAAGAUAGUUAUGAAAAAAGAGACUUUGUUAUUUAUUUAGUACUGAAAUCCAUAACAUGGAUGCUAGAAUCUUUUUUUUGUAUAUAAUUGAACAAAGUGAUUUUUUUCCAGAUCAUAAAUUGCUUGGAAAAAUGUAACAUCGAUGCUAGAAUCCCGACGAGACUAUGGCUGGUGAUGUAGAUUAUUUUCUAUGCUGAUGGUGCCGUGGCGGCUGCAUGGCGGAGGGCUGCACGCUCGACUUUGACAUCGCCGUCCGCAUAUAUGGUGGCGGGCGGGCGGAACCUCUUCGCACUGCUCCCGGAGGCGUCAAGGGCGUCAAGCCCUCUGUCGUGAUCGAAUCGGGCUCCCAGUGUUUCUUUGGAACACUGGAUUCCACUACCACGUGCAAUCAUUUAUUAGUUAUUCCAAUAGGUCACGGACUUUCCACGCGCUCAGACAGCAACAUUCUUUAUCCAAUGGGUGAUGUGAUUUUUUAUCCAUCUGAAUAUUGUGUUAUCAUUUGUUUUAAUUCAAGUGAUAUUACACAUGUAGCUUGCUGGGUAUAUUUUACAAUAGUUACCUUUGGAAAUUUCUUAGAGAUUAUAGAUGGGACAGAGACAACAUUGCAGAUACGUCGCAGCUGGGCACCAUGAUCAUUGCCCCCAUACCUCCUUUUUAUGUUAUGAAGAUAUACAUGUAGGUUUCCUUUUUGGUAAUUUUUGGAGAUCAUAAAUGAUAUUAAUAUUAGAGAAAAGUAUAUUUUUCGUCCCUCAACUCUUGGCAGAGUCUAAGAUUUUGUCCCUCGACUUCGAAACCAGAAAACUUGCACCUCCAACUACUAAAACCGGACAAGGUUCAUCCCUGGACACGGUUUUGACCGGUUUUUGUGCUGACUUUCGCCGGUUUUGAUCCUGUUUUGACUUUUGAGUCAAAUUCACGUACUUUCUUCAAGUCCGUUUAUUUUUUCAGGUCCGCAUACUUUCUACAAAAGUUCAUGAAUUUGAAAGCAGUGCACGAACUUGAAAAAAGUACACGCAUUUGAGAAAAAUACUUGAACUAGAAAAAAGUAUGCGAAUUUGGAAAAUUGCGUGAACUUGAUAAAGUACGUAGAUUUGAAAAUAGUGCGAAUUUCAAAAGGAUAUGUGAAUUUGAAAUUUUUACGUGAACAUGAAAAAGUACAAAUAUUUAAAAAAUGUACAUGAAUUUCAAAAGAUUCACAGAUUCAAAAAAUAUACGCGUAUUUAAGUCAGCACCGGUCAAACCGGGGUGAGUUAGCACCAAAACCACUCAAAGCUGAGACCAGGGAUGAACCUUGUCCGGUUUCAGUAGUUGAGGAUGCAAGUUGUCCAGUUUCGAAGUUAAGGGAUCAAAUCUAGACUCCGCCAAGAAUUGACCGGUUGAGCUGCAAUUUGCAAGGUUUCUUGUGUCUGUGUGUACGAACAGAUCGAAUCAAAUUGAAGUGACUUUGAUUAAUUUCCUUUUCAAAGUUAUUGUUGGGCCAGCUAUUAACCUCUAUAAAACAUUUAUCUUCACUUCUCUUUUGCUGCCAGGAAAUCUGGUGCAAGCCCCACUACAGUUUUAUAUAAAGAUGUUGGAGGCAACAUCGGAAGAGACAAGUCUGCGGGAAUCUUGUCCAAACUCCACAUCGCUGUCACCGAACAAAGUUGGAGGUGCAACUGAAAGAGACCAGCCAGAUUCUUCUUCCGGGUAUUAAAAAGAAAACCUGGCUAGAGAUUUCAUGCCAUGCCAUUCCAUUUAUGUUUGCUUGUGUGCUUAUCAUAUCUGAUUACAUGAUUGACAUUUAUUUCAUAAUUAGUAUAUACUUUGACACAUGAUAUGUUUUGCUUUAUUUAUGAACAACAGGAUACGUUUACUUUUUGUGAUCAUAUAAGUGAACAAACAUAGCCAAUGGUUAAAGUUUAUAUCUACUAUGUAUGUAUAUUUUUCAUUCACACAUGUCUCACUGCCUUUUAAGCACUUAAGAGAGCAGAACUGGAGAUUGCUCUCAUUAAAUGUGAACAAAAUUGAUGUUCUUUUUUU